CACGGGUGAGUAACACGUAUCCAACCUGCCGUCUACUCUUGGACAGCCUUCUGAAAGGAAGAUUAAUACAAGAUGGCAUCAUGAGUCCGCAUGUUCACAUGAUUAAAGGUAUUCCGGUAGACGAUGGGGAUGCGUUCCAUAGAUAGUAGGCGGGGUAACGGCCCACCUAGUCUUCGAUGGAUAGGGGUUCUGAGAGGAAGGUCCCCCACAUUGGAACUGAGACACGGUCCAA
rnacentral:rRNA from 1 species